CUACGUAGGUGGCAAGCGUUGUCCGGAAUUAUUGGGCGUAAAGCGCGCGCAGGUGGUUCCUUAAGUCUGAUGUGAAAGCCCCCGGCUCAACCGGGGAGGGUCAUUGGAAACUGGGGAACUUGAGUGCAGAAGAGGAUAGUGGAAUUCCAAGUGUAGCGGUGAAAUGCGUAGAGAUUUGGAGGAACACCAGUGGCGAAGGCGACUGUCUGGUCUGUAACUGACACUGAGGCGCGAAAGCGUGGGGAGCAAACAGGAUUAGAUACCCUGGUAGUCCACGCCGUAAACGAUGAGUGCUAAGUGUUGGGGGGUUUCCGCCCCUCAGUGCUGCAGCUAACGCAUUAAGCACUCCGCCUGGGGAGUACGGUCGCAAGACUGAAACUCAAAUGAAUUGACGGGG
rnacentral:rRNA from 1 species